UACGGUCAAAUCACGUUGAAAACACCGGUUCUCGUUCGAUCACCGAAGUUAAGCAUCGUAGAGCCAGGUCAGUACUUAGAUGGGGGACCGCUUGGGAACACCUGGUACUGUAAG